UCGGGAAUUUUGGGCAAUGGGCGAAAGCCUGACCCAGCAACGCCGCGUGAAGGAUGAAGUAUUUCGGUAUGUAAACUUCGAAAGAAUAGGAAGAAUAAAUGACGGUACUAUUUAUAAGGUCCGGCUAACUACGUGCCAGCAGCCGCGGUAAUACGUAGGGACCAAGCGUUGUUCGGAUUUACUGGGCGUAAAGGGCGCGUAGGCGGCAUGACAAGUCACCUGUGAAAUCUCUGGGCUUAACCCAGAACGGCCAAGUGAUACUGUCGCGCUAGAGUGCAGAAGGGGCAAUCGGAAUUCUUGGUGUAGCGGUGAAAUGCGUAGAUAUCAAGAGGAACACCUGAGGUGAAGACGGGUUGCUGGGCUGACACUGACGCUGAGGCGCGAAAGCCAGGGGAGCAAA
rnacentral:rRNA from 1 species